rnacentral:rRNA from 1 species
AAGCCAGCCUGACGGGGAGACCGACGGGUCGACCCGCCACGAAAGUGGGCCGUAGUGAUCCGGUAGCCCGGGGUGGAACGGCUAUCGCGCAACGGAUAAAAGGUACGCUGGGGAUAACAGGCUUAUCGCGCCCGAGAGUUCACAUCGACGGCGCGGUUUGGCACCUCGAUGUCGGCUUGUCACAUCCUGGGGCUGGAGAAGGUCCCAAGGGUCCGGCUGUUCGCCGGUUAAAGUGGCACAUGAGCUGGGUUCAGAACGUCGUGAGACAGUUCGGUCUGUAUCCGUCGUGGGCGUUGGAGUGUUGAGGAAUGCGGACUCUAGUACGAGAGGACCGAGUCGGACGAUCCGCUCGUGUCCCGGUUGUCCCGCCAGGGGCAACGCCGGGUAGCGAUGAUCGGUGGCGAUAACCGCUGAACGCAUCUAAGUGGGAAACGCCGUCCAAGAUGAACACUCCCUGGGGCCUUGAGCCCCCUGAAGGGCCGGAGGAGACGACUCCGUCAAUAGGCCGCCCGUGGACGCCCAGCAAUGGGCUCCGAGCGCAGCGGUCCUAAUCGCCCGUGCGGCUUGACUCA